rnacentral:rRNA from 1 species
GACGUAGGUGGCUAGCGUUAUCCGGAUUUACUGGGCGUAAAGAGUGCGUAGGCGGCCUUUCAAGUCAGAUGUAAAAUCUCCCGGCUCAACUGGGAGGGACCACCUGAUACUGUUGGGCUAGAGUACAGCAGAGGGAAGCGGAAUUCCCGGUGUAGUGGUGGAAUGCGUAGAUAUCGGGAGGAACACCAGUGGCGAAAGCGGCUUUCUGGGCUGUUACUGACGCUGUUGCACGAAGGUGCGGGGAUCAAACAGG